AGCUUGUUCCAACGCCCCUGGUUGCUGGUGUACUAGGAGAAAGAACAAGGUCGUCUUCUGUGGUGGUGCUGGUAAGGGCGGCAUCUAAACAACGAACUGGACACCUUUGUCUUGGCAAAGGAUAUCCCAUUGACUCCAACUGAUAAAUCGGGCAUAUAUUAUAUGUCAUGACGUCAUGUUUAUUAUAAUGAUUUGAUGGAUCUGACAGGCCUGUUUACAUCAUAUCUAAUAAAGUCUAUGCAAAGUAGAAAGAAAAAA